UAUCGUCCAGAAAGCACAGAAAAAACUUAUGAUAGGGAACGGCAGUAUUCAGAAGGUAUGAACUCAAUCACAGUCUCGUCAAACUUGUCUAGCUGGAGGGGGAAGCGCUCGAGCGAGAAAUAGGGGAACGGCAGUAUUGAGAGUGGCAUUAUUGGGAAAGUGUACUGUACUGCAUGUUUCAUUUACUUUAGUGAAAAAACAAUCGUAACGAAGUAACGGUAAACGAAGAAGAAGCUGCACCGACGUCAUCCCGUUUUGCUUCUUGUCAGCAGCAGCAAGUUGCGAGCGUAUCGCCCCGUGUGGAACCUCGGGCGGUAGCCAGGGUGUUGCCAAAGCAACGCCCUGCUCCUACGGCCCAACGUCGCCGACGAGAGGGGUCAGAAGAAGAAGAAGCAAAUGAACCUCCGCUGCGAAGAGCCCGUAGAGAUGAAGCGGAGCUUUCUCUUCCUCCUCCUCCUCCCGUUGAUUCCGAUGAUGAAGUGCAGAUAAUGCUGGAAGUUAGGCAUCCGCCAGGGAUAUUAUCUGAUCAUUUCUAACAGAAAGAAGCGGAAGAAGAACAGCGUCAAUGGGUGGUGGAGGAGCUUCGAAGAAGGCGGCUGGAAGCGCAAAUAGAAGACGAGCGCUACGAGCGGGAAACAGUCCGUCUCUUGUCGCGGAAAUCGAAAACGAGAUCAUUGCCGACAACAACGACAACAACGACAACAACGGCGUCGACGACGAGAACGAUGACGACGACGACGACGACGACGAC